rnacentral:rRNA from 1 species
GACGAACGCUGGCGGCGUGCUUAACACAUGCAAGUCGAACGGAAAGGCCCUGCUUUUGUGGGGUGCUCGAGUGGCGAACGGGUGAGUAACACGUGAGUAACCUGCCCUUGACUUUGGUAUAACUUCAGGAAACUGGGGCUAAUACCGGAUAGGAGCUCCUGCUGCAUGGUGGGCGUUGGAAAGUUUCGGCGGGUGGGGAUGGACUCGCGGCUUAUCAGCUUGUUGGUGGGGUAGUGGCUUACCAAGGCUUUGACGGGUAGCCGGCCUGUGAGGGUGACCGGCCACAAUGGGACUGAGAGACGGCCCAGACUCCUACAGGAGGCAGCAGUGGGGAAUAUUGCACAAUGGGCGGAAGCCUGAUGCAGCAACGCCGCGUGCGGGAUGACGGCCUUCGGGUUGUAAACCGCUGUCGCCUGUGACGAAGCGUGAGUGACGGUAAUGGGUAAAGAAGCACCGGCUAACUACGUG